GCUUUCCUCAGGUCUCAGUUAAGAUCACACCUUCUGCAAGAAGCCUUCUCUGGUCUUCCUUAAUGUUCGUGCCUUCCCUCUGUGACAAUCCAAUUUAGCCUGCCGCUGUCUUGUCUGUCUGCAAACAGCAACCAGCCAUCCUGAACAAUGCAUAUUCUCAGCCUUGGUGGUGACUACCUUGUGAAUGCAAGCAUUCCUGAGUUCCUGAAUUAAUUCUGGCCACCCAGCAGGAGGUGUUUCCUGAAACUACAUUGCUUCUUAGCGGGCAAGGUGACCGCCAGCCAGAUCAUCCUGAACUUAAAAGGAGUAAAGAGCUAUCCCUGACUGGCCAGCAGAGGUGGAACUUAGGAAUUGCUCAGACAAGUGGAGGUCUGAGGUACGCACUGGAAAUAUUUUGUUAGGACUUCCAUCUGGAUUUCCUUGUGCAUUGGAAGAGAUCCAGUGAAGAAAUGUAUGGGAGGAAUUUUCACCAUGGAUUGUUUGA